GCGCCCGUAGCUCAACUGGAUAGAGCGGCAGACUACGAAUCUGCGGGCUGAAGGUUCGAAUCCUUUCGGGCGCGCCA
rnacentral:tRNA from 1 species